rnacentral:pre_miRNA from 1 species
AGUGCAGUUGCUGGGUUGUAUGGUCAUUGUAUGUAUAGUUUUUAAAGAACUUGCUAAACUGUUUUACAGAGUGGCUGUACCAUUUUACAUCCCUACCAGCAAU